rnacentral:tRNA from 1 species
GAUAGCUCAGUUGGGAGAGCGCAGCCCUUACAAGGCUGAGGUCACAGGUUCAAUCCCUGUUCCGCCUACCA